rnacentral:lncRNA from 1 species
GCCAAGUGUUUGCUUAUUAAAUAGACCUACUGCGCAUGCCACAAAAUUCUUUAAGAUUUGAAGUGCAUUUGAGAAAUCUGUGCUAUAAACAGGAAUCAUUUAAUGAUAUUGUUUUCUCUUCAUCACACAGAAUGAGGAAACACUGUAAUUCAGCCCCCUUUCAAUGGUUCAUCCACAGGAUAUUCAUUGCGCUGGGAUGGAUAAUAAUUGUCAUUAGUCCUUUAUGCCUAAGGAAGAUUUGCCCAGAGCUGACAUCUGUUGCCAACCUUCCUCUAUUUUGUAUAUGGGUAGCCACCACAACACGGCCACUGAUGAGAAGUAUAGGUCCAUGCCCGGGAACCAAAGCUGGGCCCCCAAAGUGGAGCAUGCUGAACAUAACCACUAGGCCAUAGGACCAGCCACUGUUUCAUCAUUUUAAAAAAUUAUUUAAUAGUUAGUGUCUCUCCCUACAGUAUAAGAAGACACUUAUUUAAAUGUGUGCACACUUAUGUAUGUAUCACUGCUAUAUGGAUUGACUUCAAUGCCUUCCUUAAUAUGUGUUACAUCAUACCAUCUCAAACUAAAUACCCUUCCUUUAUUUCUGCCAUGGUAUUAUAGCAAACAUAUAGGCAAUCAAAAGAUAAAAAAUAUA